UGGGCGGGUCGCGACUGGCGUUCAGAUGGUCACCAUCGGGGAGCGACUGACACACGUGCGUGGCCGUACGCCUGGGCCACGACA
rfam:Frigoribacterium sp. RIT-PI-h contig_16, whole genome shotgun sequence.